rnacentral:lncRNA from 1 species
UCUCUCCAUAUGGCUUUGCCCACAGUCGCACCUGUGCCUUUCCAUCCACGUCCUGGGAAGGAAAUAAAGAUCUUCCAGAUGAACAGUGGGACUGUCUCUCCCUGUCUCCCUUCCACCUCUACACCUUGUCCACAGCACCUGAGCUCUCUCGAAUCUCGAAUAGAACUACCAUCCUCAAGAAUCUCUGGAAAUAAAUGAAGACAAAUACAGACAAGAGCACCAUGAGACUUCAUUCUCCCUCUCUCUCUCUGUCUCCCACUCCUACCACCAAAGAAGAGACUUAUUUCCACAAACUCUCAAGACCUAGCACUCCAACCCACGCCUUGAAUGUGGAUGCCAGCGGCUGAUUCAUGCUUCCCAAUCUUUAUCUUAGCAGUGGGCUCAGCAGCGAUAGAGGCAUCAUCAGCAAUGCCUGAUCCCAUUGGAUAGACCUCGUCUACUUCGAUUCACGUUCUUGCCCCAAGUAUUAAAGCAGAUGGUGCAGAUAUUGAUAUUUUAAAUUGGUUCCUUUAUAAGUAAAGAAGACUAAGCAUUCCAAGUACUUAUAUUUCACAAGAUUAUUUUCAUGCCACUAAACAUAGUUUCCUUUCCAAGUUCAAAGUAUCCUCAGAAGCCGUUCUUUGAUGAGGCCAGAUUUUUAGAUGCUGAUCCUUAGAGAGUGUGAAGCAAAGUAGGUGAAGCUCCAACCAUUUAAUUACAGAACAUAUUGAAGUAAAAAAUGAUAAUAACCACUCAUCUUUUUUUUUUUUUCAAUUGGAAAAAACUCUACUGUCCAGUGCACAAAGGUAAGGGUUAUACUAUCAAAUUGCCUUUUUCCCGGAGUUUUACUUUCCACUCAAGGGACAGUAUGUUCGCUCCCACAAACAUCCUCUAAGCAAUCACAGCAUCGUUAAUCACCUUUUGCUCAGGCCCCAUAUAAUGGAACUAUUACGGUUGCACCACACCUGGCAGAGCAGAUUUUGAAGAUCCUAACCUCUUUUAAGAGGAAAAUAAUUUCUUAAAUGCACCAAAGCUAUAUAACUCGCCCAGCCAUUUUCUGUGCCCUAAUUUUUCUCCUGUUGCUUCCUUUGUGCACCAUUCAAGGUUUUCCUGCACUGAGACAAUCUUUUACAUUUUUUUCUUCUGCCUGCAUCAAAGUUAGG